rnacentral:rRNA from 1 species
CCCUGGCUCAGGACGAACGCAGGCGGCGUGCCUAAUACAUGCAAGUCGAGCGGAGUUGAUGAGGUGCUUGCACCUCUGAUACUUAGCGGCGGACGGGUGAGUAACACGUGGGUAACCUGCCUAUAAGACUGGGAUAACAUUCGGAAACGAAUGCUAAUACCGGAUACGCGAUAUGGUCGCAUGAUUGAAUCGGGAAAGAUGGAGCAAUCUAUCACUUAUAGAUGGACCCGCGGCGCAUUAGCUAGUUGGUGAGGUAACGGCUCACCAAGGCGACGAUGCGUAGCCGACCUGAGAGGGUGAUCGGCCACACUGGGACUGAGACACGGCCCAGACUCCUACGGGAGGCAGCAGUAGGGAAUCUUCCGCAAUGGACGAAAGUCUGACGGAGCAACGCCGCGUGAGUGAUGAAGGUUUUCGGAUCGUAAAGCUCUGUUGCCAGGGAAGAAUGCUUGGGAGAGUAACUGCUCCCAAGGUGACGGUACCUGAGAAGAAAGCCCCG